AGUCGCACGAGAAAGGGGUUUCGGCCCUGAGUAAAGUGGCGUACGGGUGAGUAACACGUGACUAACCUACCCUCGAGUGGGGAAUAACCUAGAGAAAUCUGGGCUAAUACCGCAUAACACUCAUGAGUCAAAGCAGCAAUGCGCUUGAGGAGGGGGUCGCGGCAGAUUAGCUAGUUGGCGGGGUAAUGGCCCACCAAGGCGAUGAUCUGUAUCCGGCCUGAGAGGGCGCACGGACACACUGGAACUGAAACACGGUCCAGACUCCUACGGGAGGCAGCAGUGGGGAAUUUUGCGCAAUGGGGGAAACCCUGACGCAGCAACGCCGCGUGGAGGAUGAAAUCCCUUGGGAUGUAAACUCCUUUCGAUCGGGACGAUUAUGACGGUGCCGGAAGAAGAAGCCCCGGCUAACUUCGUGCCAGCAGCCGCGGUAAUACGAGGGGGGCAAGCGUUGUUCGGAAUUAUUGGGCGUAAAGGGCGCGUAGGCGGUUUGACAAGUCUUGUGUGAAAUCUCUGGGCUCAACCCAGAGUCUGCACGGGAAACUGUCGGGCUUGAGUAUGGGAGAGGUGAGUGGAAUUUCCGGUGUAGCGGUGAAAUGCGUAGAUAUCGGAAGGAACACCUGUGGCGAAAGCGGCUCACUGGACCAUAACUGACGCUGAGGCGCGAAAGCUAGGGGAGCAAACAGGAUUAGAUACCCUGGUAGUCCUAGCCCUAAACGAUGAUUGCUUGAUGUAGCAGGUACCCAAUCCUGCUGUGUCGAAGCUAACGCGAUAAGCAAUCCGCCUGGGGAGUACGGUCGCAGGCUGAAAACUCAAAGGAAUUGAC
rnacentral:rRNA from 1 species